GACGAACGCUGGCGGCGUGCCUAAUACAUGCAAGUCGAGCGCAGGAAGUCGACGGAACCCUUCGGGGGGAAGUCGACGGAAUGAGCGGCGGACGGGUGAGUAACACGUAAAGAACCUGCCCUCAGGUCUGGGAUAACCACGAGAAAUCGGGGCUAAUACCGGAUGGGUCAUCGGACCGCAUGGUCCGAGGAUGAAAGGCGCUCCGGCGUCGCCUGGGGAUGGCUUUGCGGUGCAUUAGCUAGUUGGUGGGGUAAUGGCCCACCAAGGCGACGAUGCAUAGCCGACCUAAGAGGGUGAUCGGCCACACUGGGACUGAGACACGGCCCAGACUCCUACGGGAGGCAGCAGUAGGGAAUCUUCCACAAUGGACAAAAGUCUGAUGGAGCAACGCCGCGUGAACGAUGAAGGCCUUCGGGUCGUAAAGUUCUGUUGUAAGGGAAGAACAAGUGCCGCAGGCAAUGGCGGCACCUUGACGGUACCUUGCGAGAAAGCCACGGCUAACUACGUGCCAGCAGCCGCAGUAAUAC
rnacentral:rRNA from 1 species